rnacentral:tRNA from 1 species
UUUUCUGUGGUUUGGUUGGUUAAAGCGCCGGUCUGACGAAUACGGAGUUGUGGGUUCGAACCUCACCAGAAUAC